AAUUCUCAUUUUUAUUUGAUUGAAGUUAUAAAAAGAAAUUUCUAAAAGAAAAAAAUUGUGACUCGAUAAAAAGACAAAUGUUCUUCGUUGUGUCGUCUUACGUCUAUUUUUUCUAGUUCCUUUUUUUUUUCUUUUCUUUCUUCUUCUUUUUCCUUAUCACACGCGUGCAUAAGCACUCAAUUACACGCGCGCGUACUUUUAUCGCGUAAGCCAAGAAGAAAGAGGAAGGAAAAAAAGAAGAAAAAAAAGUAGACAACGCGAUCGGAGCGCCAUAGUAGCUCAUGAGCGAGCUUACUCAACGAAAACUAUAGGGAUAAGAUAAGGAAUCUCAUAAUUAUUAUAGUAAUGCCAUAUAUAUCGCGAAGUUGUAUUGCUGGUGAAUAAAGUUAUGAGGCCGUCGAAGAACCACCUACUCGACUGACUGACUGACUGACUUACUGACUCAGAUUUAUAAUUAGUUGUUAUUUACUCGUUAUAAUUUUCUAGUAUUGGAAGAAAAGGAAGAUACCUACGUUCGAAUAUUCUUUUCCGAUAACGAAAAGAUCGACCGUUCAACUCGAAGUUCGUUGUUCGUUAUGAAAAAUAAUUUCUUUUCCCUUUUUUCUUUUUUCCUUUUUUCUUUUUUAUUUUUCGCAAUUCUAAUUGAACUAAAAUAAUAAACGAGCCUUUUAUAAGAUCGAACAAUUGACCACUGUCGAGAAUCUCUUACUGUCACGAAUGAAUCCUGGUAAUGAUAUUCUCGAAAGGGAGAAAUCGAUUUUUGUCAUUACGAAUAAAAUACGAUUGUAGCUUAUGGGGAUCUUAUCAAUUUGCGCGGAAACCGUUGUUAAGGCAACCGUCAACUCGAUUGAGGUGCUCGUGGCCGCCAACGAAUGAAAACGAAUGAAAUUUUGUCGAGCUCGAAAAGAAAAAAGAACUCGUACGAGUUUCUUCGAGAGCUAUGCGUGUUACUUAUUCGUGCUUGGUUCGGUAGAAUGUCGUAGAGGAAUGAAAGAGAGAGAAAGAAGAAUCUUUUGAAUUCCGUGUUAACGAAAAAGGAGGAGCAACGUGGACGACAAUCCGUUCCUUCAAACCGGAUUUCGGGAUUACAAUCGACCGCCUGCUUCUUCGUCUUCUACUUCAUCGUCGUUUUCUUCUUCUGCGAAGCCCUUCGUUCGUUUUUAUAUAGUCGAGGGCGACGGAGAUCUCGCCUUUGGCUCGUCACAUUCGAACGGCUACGGGUAAACGCGACAAUGGGCAACAAAGGGAGGUAGGGAUCGAGUCUGAUCGUAAAGGUCCCUUAUUCGGAUCUCGAAUCACAGUCCAUUCGUCUCGGAUGUCUUGGAACCGUAUUUUCUUUUACGAAGAAAGAGGAAUGAUCAAUGGUUUACAAGGAUAUUUUCAAGGAUAUUCAUCGUUGAAAAAAGGUGUGAGAAGGAAGGCCGACAAUUCGCGAGGUUGAACAAGAUCCUUGGAUUAGAAUGAACCCCUUUUGCCGUUCCACGAACGGUCUGUUUAAUACUCUCUCGCCUGGCGCCUCGGCGAAGUUUAAAACGCGACAGGAGGACUGUUCAAGAAAAGGAGUCGGGCGUGAGGAGGGAAAAGAAGGGGGAACCAGAGGGCCCAAAAUCUCGAUCUGUUCGGCGCCCGCUACGAGGUGGACCGACGAAGGACGCAAAGGACGAAUCUACAAAAUAAAUUCUCAUCGAGCAAUGAGGUAUUAGGAUCUUUGAAAAGAUGUAUUAUAACAAAGGUCGAAAGAGAGUUGAAAAGUGACAAGAUCGAAGUCGAUGUUCUCGGAGAGGUCCAAACGCGUAUCGAGUGGCGGGAGGCUAGUAGACGGUCCUGGACCAGGCUUCGGUUCUUAUUCCGUGGUACGUGAGAGCAACAGAGAAAGAAGAAGGAGAAGAAGAAAGAAAAAAGAAAAAGGAAAAGAAAAAGAAAAAAAAUAAAAGGAAGGAAGAGAGUGAGAGGGUAAACGCGAGACUCAGCACAACAAAGAUCCAUCGGGACCGGUUUCGUGUUCUGCCCUUUUUUACAUUCCCCGAAGAGGCCCCGCCAGGCUGCGGGUGUGAAAACCGACACCCACCCACUUGUUAUUUUGUCAAACACGAGCUCUGAAAAUUAUAGGAAUCAUGCGGCACAUCGAGCCUAUCCUAUACGUCUAAUAUGGCCGUGCGCACGACAGAUUAUAUUCGAUCCGACUUUUACUCUCUUUGCCUUCGUGUGGCCGCUUCGUAUUUUAUAACCGUCAAUUAAACGCGAAACCGUAAAAUAACUGCUACUGCUAUUUAAACGCGGUUAAAGUUGACGCGAGCUAACAUAGCCAUUUUGUUUGUCACUUGAUUCUAUUAGUUUUUCGAUCCUUAAGCUAACGUAGGGGUUCUGAAAUCGAACGGACUCGGCACUGAGAUCGACGGAAUUGCGAAUUCCGAUGGCUUGCUGGUGGUUGCAAUAAUUUCGAGGCAAUUGAACCGAAACGAAACGCCGACUCAAGCGUACGAAAGCCGCGAGUACUCAACUCUGGGAUAGCUUCUCGCAGCUGCUGUGGCUAACCACAUUGAUUAUUAUUUCCGAUAGAUCGAGUCAAACACAAAAUUCUUUGCGACGAGUACUUUCAUUUUACUUUUGUUUGUUUCAUGUUGUUAUUGUUGUCAUUAUUGUUUUUUUUUGUCACGUUAAUUGAUCAUAUCGAUGUAAUUUUGUCUUUAUAAGUAUGUUAAAUAAAGUUAUCUUCAUUUUUUAUAUUUUCGUUAUUUUCUUUAUUUACAAGAAAACUACAUUAUUUCUUAAAUUUAUCCUUUUGCAAAUAAAAAUAUUAAUUGCACUGUAAAUUCAUCAUAUCGAUGUAAUUUUAUUUUUGCAA